ensembl:lncRNA
AUUUAGGUGUUCAUUCACUGGGUGCUAAGGAGUCUAAUUCAACACAUUGCUGGUGUUGUUUGUCUGUCGACCGUUACAGCGCCUAUCUGUGUUUCUUUCUUGGACUCCGACAUGUAGGAGGUGGCCAAGAUGUUGAUAAAAGUAAAACACAGAGAGACAAAGAAAUAUGCAAAAUUGGAAGAAGUCAGCUUCACAGAUUUUGUGAGAGCAGUGCAGCAGAAGUUUCUCAUACCAGAAAAUGCAGCACUGAAAGUCACGGAUGAGCAGGGUAUAGAGGUGGAUGAGGAUAUCUUUCCUGAACUUGCAGCAGUCAAAGAGGUGUGUUUUGUCAUCAAUACAGCUGAAGACAUCCUGGAAACACAAUCAUCCAAGAAGCUGCGUGACUGCUCAGACCUAACACACUAUGUGACACUCACACCUUGUGAUUUGACUGUCCUGAAGCAACAUGUGGAAGAGCCCUCCUCUCCAAGUCUAACAGAUACAUUGUCUGUCUCAACCACCAGCAGUCAGAGCAGUGACACAAGUGAUGCCGGACUUCAAAUGGUUCAGCCUCUAUUGGACAGCAUACAUGAAAGAAAUGUAGAUACAGUACUUAAUUGACUUAUACUUGACUCUUUAGUUGCCAUUACUUGAAAAAGCUUAAACACGAAGAUAAAACAGAUUAGAGAAAAAUAACUUAAUAUAGUAUUUCAUGUAGUUUGCUCUGCAACUGUAGUGUGUAAUAAGACUUGCUCUCUCUCUCUCGCUCUCUCUCUGUUUUUGUUAUGCAUGUUAACCAUGAAACGUGUUUCCAUGAUCAGUGUCCUGCUUUUCAGGUAAAUGAAACCAUUUUUAAGAAGAUACUGGUUCUAGAAAGGGAGAAAGUAAGACAUUUCAAAUGUUUUGAUGCCCAAAUGUCAUAUGGGUGUGAUUCACAAUUUUAUGUUCUGUGAGAGAGUUGCAUUACUUAAUUUGUUGGCUUGAUGGAGACUUUACAGAGUCUUCCUCACGUUAACACUGCAUUACAAGAAGUGCUUAUUCUGUAGUCAUUUUUUUCCUUUAAUUCUGUUUUUUUUUUCUUUUCGCCCAAUGUUAGGCCUUUCUGACCUCAACUGUUUAGCUGCCAAUAAUGGUGGAUAUUAUGCUAUUACAGUACUGUUACACAGAAUGUAUGUUAAUCCAUGCAGCAUUCAUAUUUGAAUAUGUUAUUUUUGAUAAAUAAAAUCCAUACAUUCAUAAUAAUCACUAUUGUGUUUUUGUAGUAAUUUGCACCAAAAACCUAAAACUUUUUUCAAUUGAUGAGUAACACUACAAAAGAGUUAAUAUCAAACUUAACUCUAGUUAUGAGUUAAAUUUUACUCUAUAUGGUAGUAGAAAUUUCACUCCGUGAGAGUUUAGUUUUAACUCCUAUAAAGAGUUGAAAAAUCAACUCCCGGAAAAGAGUUACUCUAACUCUGCACUAGAGUUCAUUCGAUGGUCACGCAUGUACACUCAAAUGUAGUUAAUCUGAACUCCC